GCGGGAGCAGUGGUAUUUCUAAUCAGGGCAGCGAGCAUGCUAACAGCCAGUGCAAAUGGUCCCUAUCUGCACACAACUAGAGAAACACCACCCCCUUUACUCCCCCACAUCCCUGUUGCCAUCCUAAAAAAAUAAUGCCAUGAGGGUGAGAGGGGAGCGCUUUUCCGCAGGUACAUUCUGUGGGAGUGAUAAGCACAUGUUUACAACAGGAAGAACGGUAGCAGCCUUUGCGGUCUCCAUUUCCUGGGCAUUUUUCUCUCGGGUGGUUUGUAAAGGUCAUAAAACCGUUUAAGAACCUUGAAAGAACAAGGUGUUUUCCCUGAGAAGAACGCUAAUUAUGAACAUGUACCUCUCGGGCGCUCGGGACCUCGCUGAAGCCCACCCACACAUUCUGGAAGGUUCUGCGGGCCCUGGAAUUCAUCACUCGGGGUGAGUACAGCCUGCCCUGGGUCUGGAGUCAGGAGACUUGGUGAGGAGCCUGGUUCUGUCCUGGGCUGAUGGCUCAGCCUCCGGCACGGCAGGUGAGUGCCCCUUACAGCUGCACUGUGAGAGGGUCACUGUCCCCCACAGAGCGUUUAUGGGUGGUGAGAACACGGCGGGAAAGCGGCCAAACUGGCUAUUCUUCCAGUUACACUAAGACUCUUGCUUACACCUUUGACCUAUCCCCGGGAUUUCCUCAGGCGGUUGCCCUCCUCCCCUCUCUUCUGGGCCUACUGACCAGGCCACUCACCUCCAAAGCAGUUUCCACUCCUCAGCAAAACAGCGACGCAUUCACCUGUAGGAAUUUUUGUGCACCCUGAAUCUGAUGAAUAAAAUCCCAGCCAGGCGUGGUGGUGCACGCCUGUGAUCCCAGAGACUCGGGAAGCUGAGGCAGGAGGAUCCCAAGUUCAAAGCCAGCCUCAGUGAGGCCCUGAACAACUUAGCACGCUCUGAAUUAAAUAUAGGACCUAAAAGGGCUGGGGAUGUGGCUCAGUGGCUCAAACCCUGGCACCAAAAAAAAAAUAAAUAAGUAAAAUCCUAACAAUCAUUCUCAAUGCAUUUGCAUUGUAUGAAACACCAAUCUCUUCCCAGUGCCCGUAUGAUACCUUAAUUAACUAUCCUGACACUAUCCGUGUCUCCACGUGCUUGCUUUGCACUUGGAGGGAGUGUUCUUCACACAAUCACUCUGGAGUUCACGGACCCCUCUGCUACUGGGACAUGCACCUACUUUGAAUUGGAGCUCCCUGAACUGCCACACAGGAUAGAGACAUGGACAUGAUGCCAGCCAGACCCUCUUUCCAUUGCUGUGACAAAAUACCUGAGGAGAUGAACUUGUAAGGAAAAAAAAAGGCUUCACCUCCUGAAGGUGGCACCACCCAACAGCCCCAGAGCAGGGGCCAUGCCUUCAACCCACAGCACUGGUAGGACAUUUCAGACCCGAACCACAACUACACGAAAGAGCCAGCUGCUAUGUCUGUGCAGGAGCCCCGUGUGAGUGUGCACUGGUGACCCCGUGCGGGUGGGGGACGGUGGUCCUCACGGCCUGCCCCUCUGUCGGCCUGCAAACCCUCACAUGGUCCUCACCGUGCAGCUGCCUGUCCUGUUUCCCCAGCCCCUGGGGAGAGGCCAGCACUCCUCAAUGGCCCUAGAGGGGCUCAGGUAGGUGGGGCUGUGUGUCCCCAUAAGGACCCACGAUGGGACUCCGAGUCACGGGGACCAAAGCGACCAGCCUGCCCACACGGCACCUUCCAGGCCAUGGGAGGGCCACUCAAGCCCAAGGCUUCUGACCCCUGUGCCUGUGAGCCCAACCAACACGUCGUGUUUACAACAUGAAGCUCAAAGGAGCCACGGGAGAGGACAGACUGACUGCAGUGGCCACGGGCCAACCUAAAGUCAGGCCACCCCACGCUGCGUGCUGACCGAAUCCACUUUGCAGACCUUACGGAGGAUGUGAUUCAUCCCAUAUCAGUCUCCUGACUGAACGGGAUGUGUGUGUCUGUG